GACGUAGGAUGCAAGCGUUGUCCGGAAUUAUUGGGCGUAAAGCGUUCGUAGGCGGUUGACUAAGUCUGAUGUUAAAGCCCGGAGCUCAACUCCGGCAUGGCAUUGGAAACUGGGCGGCUAGAGUGUGGCAGAGGUAUCGGGAAUUCCAGGUGUAGCGGUGAAAUGCGUAGAUAUCGGGAGGAACAUCAGUGGCGAAGGCGGCUAUCUGGACUAACACUGACACUGAGGCACAAAAGCGUGGGUAGCAAACAGG
rnacentral:rRNA from 1 species